GGCCACAGCCAUAUCACCCUGCAGCCCAAGACCAGUUACUCACUGAAGCUAAGCAGGGUUGAGCCUGGUUAGUACCUGGAUGGGAGACCACUAGGGAACACUAGGUUGCUGUUGGAA
rnacentral:rRNA from 1 species